UACGGAGGGUGCAAGCGUUAUCCGGAAUCACUGGGUUUAAAGGGUGCGUAGGUGGCUAGAUAAGUCAGAGGUGAAAGCUUGCAGCUUAACUGUAAAAUUGCCUUUGAUACUGUUUAGCUUGAGACUAUUUAAGGUAGGCGGAAUGCGUCAUGUAGCGGUGAAAUGCAUAGAUAUGACGUAGAACACCGAUUGCGAAGGCAGCUUACUAGGAUAGAUCUGACGCUGAGGCACGAAAGCGUGGGGAGCGAACAGG
rnacentral:rRNA from 1 species